UGAGGAAUAUUGGUCAAUGGACGCAAGUCUGAACCAGCCAAGUAGCGUGCAGGAUGACGGCCCUAUGGGUUGUAAACUGCUUUUAUAUGGGGAUAAAGUGGGGAACGUGUUCCCUUUUGCAGGUACCAUAUGAAUAAGGACCGGCUAAUUCCGUGCCAGCAGCCGCGGUAAUACGGAAGGUUCGGGCGUUAUCCGGAUUUAUUGGGUUUAAAGGGAGCGUAGGCCGUUUGGUAAGCGUGUUGUGAAAUGUAGGAGCUCAACUUCUAGAUUGCAGCGCGAACUGUCAGACUUGAGUGCGCACAACGUAGGCGGAAUUCAUGGUGUAGCGGUGAAAUGCUUAGAUAUCAUGAAGAACUCCGAUUGCGAAGGCAGCUUACGGGAGCGCAACUGACGCUGAAGCUCGAAGGUGCGGGUAUCGAACAGGAUUAGAUACCCUGGUAGUCCGCACAGUAAACGAUGGAUGCCCGCUGUUAGCACCUAGUGUUAGCGGCUAAGCGAAAGCAUUAAGCAUCCCACCUGGGGAGUACGCCGGCACGGU
rnacentral:rRNA from 1 species